GUCUGUUUUCGAGUUACAAUCAAAGUAGGCAGGUCCUCAUUUGUAAAGUCAGCGGGAAGAAAAUGGAUGGGCCUCAAGUUAAUCAGUUAGUCAGCCCUCACAGUGACAGACCUGUGAAGCCCAAACAAAAAAGAAACAGACGAAAGCUUGUUCCCAUUGAAGUUCAAAAGGCCAGAAAGUUAGAAAAAGACAGACAAAGGAGCAGAGAGACGGUUCAUAUUGGCAGGCAAAUAGAGAGAUGGAAUGCUCUGAGGAAGGAGCUACAAAUAAAACAUGAAGUGUUGGCAGAGAUUCUCUUAG